GUUACUGAAAACACAGAGUAGAGUAAAACAAAUUUGUCCGUCAUCAGAAACAUGAAAGUGGCGAAAGAUCUCACUCUCCAUCACCACUGAGCUUACAUUUUCUUGAAUUCCCCAAAUGUUUUGAUCUUUUCAACAAAUUCCCAAUUUUUGGUUUUCCAAAUGUCAGCCCCUAAUAAACCUUCCCGUGUUUUCUCCUUCUUUAACAUCACUGCCGGCAUCGGCGGCGGCAGUGGUGGAAGAUCCAAUGCGACGGAUCUACCACAACCUCAGCUGAAGCUGGAAUCGGAUAGACAAGUGUAUAGACCGGGUGAUCCGGUAACCAUUACUAUUGAAAUCAAGAAUCCAACCACUUCUUCUUCUUUGCUUAUUGAAAAACUUAGUUUUGAAAUUAAAGGGAUCGAGAAAUUGGAUACUCAGUGGUUCUCCACUUCUAAAUCUUUUCCUGAUUCUAAGCUACGCAGAGGUGAGUAUGUAUUUAUGGAUAACUUGACUCCUGUAUUAAUAUCAAAUCAGAUUGUCUCCACCGGUAGCUCCAGAAAGUUUAUGGUGCGAACAAUUCUACCAAGCACCAUACCACCAUCAUACAGGGGUGCAACCAUUCGUUACCUUUAUUAUGUUAGAAGUAUUUUAUCUGGACAAUACCUGAUAAUGGAAAAUGGUCACUUCAGCGAAGAGUCUAUACGAGAUCUUGCAGAGUUGGAAACAAGAAUACCACUGCAAUUAUGGGUAACUCAGAAGAGUAAUGGCCUUCAAAGUGAAGAAGGGCGCAUUAGUGGGAUUGUUCCUGCUUCAACUCUGCCUUUGGAUGUUUACUGGAAAGAGAUGGAUGCAGAUACUGACUGGGCUAAAAUAAAUGAAACUUUUGAUGGUGUGGAGGAAGGAUAUGAAAGUUCAAGGGAUGAAGUUUCAUCAGUUUCCUCCUAUAAUCCCAUGAAAGAUAAUAUACACCGGACAUUUGGAAGCUCAUUAUCCUUGCGGUCUUCCUUGGCAAGGACUUCAAGCAAAGAUCUUCCACAUCUUGAAGGACGGUCAAGCAUAUCUUCACAACUGGCACUUCCACAGAUAGCUGUGGCUGAUGUCUUGUAUGAUUCUAAUGGGGCAGAUGUUUUAUCCCCAAGUCAACAGCUGAAAAGUACCAAGGCCUUUUCCAAAUAUGAUGAUUCGAUGGCACCUUCUGUCUCAGGCAUGGAUGAAUCUGGAGCCUCAGAAGGGUUUAUUCGAGGGAGAUCUUACAACAUUAGACUGGAUGACCAAGUGCUUCUAAGAUUUUCUCCAAAAAAUUCUGAGUCAACGUAUUACUUCAGUGAUAUGAUAGGUGGAACCCUGACUUUUUUUCAUGAAGAGGGUUCUAGAAGAUGCCUUGAGCUUUCAAUAACACUGGAGAUGACCGAAACUAUUAGCCGACGCUUUGUACAUCCUUCACGGAGACAUGCUCCUUCUAUUACCAAGGUUCAUAGUGAUCAUCACGAGGUAGUUGCUGAUUUAGUUCAAACAAGCUUCCUUUUUUCCAUUCCGAUGGAUGGUCCUAUGUCUUUUUCCACUCACUAUGUGUCCGUACAAUGGGCUCUUCGAUUUGAAUUCUUUACCACUCCCAAGAAUGCUGAUUGGUCAAGAUAUGAGCAUCCUCUUUUGGUAGAGGGUAGAGAGAAAUGUGAGUGGGUACUUCCAAUAACUGUGCAUGCACCUCCAGGAGGAGCUGCUGCAGCUCAGACAAGAAAUGACAAGUCAUUCUCUUUGGAACCCCUAUGGGUCCAUACCUAAAGGUUGCAAAUGCUAGAGUACAGCGGAACUAACACCUCAUUACAAGAAUGUAUUUGUUUUGCUGAUCUCGUUAGAGAAAGGAACGUUAUAUUAUAUCUGGAGAUGUAUACACAUUGCGAAAAGUUAAAAUGCUUGGCUCAUUACUGUUGAGAUAUUACACCGGCAACCUCUGGAGCUUGCCCACCCGCCCUCCAGGUUCUGAUUCAGAGAGGAUGAGUAGUAACUGUGUUUCAGUAUUAUUGUAUUUUAGCCACCAGUCUAUAUUUCCCCUUCCAAUCUUUGGCGUUGUCUUGUUUUCCCUUAUAUAAUUUUUAUAUGAUUAGAAAUGUAUUUUGCCUUUUUUUUUAUCUAUUUUUGUUUUUUAUAGAGAACAUUUUGUUUUGGGGAUCAUUACGUUCAACUGUCAUUAUGUAUAUGAUUAGAAACGUCUAGUGAGGUAUGAUAAUAUUGGAAAUACGGUGACCAA